rnacentral:rRNA from 1 species
CGGGAACUUUAGGGAGACUGCCGGUGACAAACCGGAGGAAGGUGGGGACGACGUCAAGUCAUCAUGGCCCUUACGGGUAGGGCUACACACGUGCUACAAUGGCCGGUACAAAGGGUUGCAAAGCGGCGAGGUGGAGCUAAUCCCAUAAAGCCUGUCUCAGUCCGGAUUGGAGUCUGCAACUCGACUCCGUGAAGUCGGAAUCGCUAGUAAUCGUGAAUCAGAAUGUCACGGUGAAUACGUUC